CCGCAUAAGCGCACAGUACCGCAUGGUACAGUGUGAAAAACUCCGGUGGUGUGAGAUGGACCCGCGUCUGAUUAGCUAGUUGGCAGGGCAACGGCCUACCAAGGCGACGAUCAGUAGCCGACCUGAGAGGGUGACCGGCCACAUUGGGACUGAGACACGGCCCAAACUCCUACGGGAGGCAGCAGUGGGGAAUAUUGCACAAUGGGGGAAACCCUGAUGCAGCGACGCCGCGUGAGCGAAGAAGUAUUUCGGUAUGUAAAGCUCUAUCAGCAGGGAAGAAGAAAUGACGGUACCUGACUAAGAAGCACCGGCUAAAUACGUGCCAGCAGCCGCGGUAAUACGUAUGGUGCAAGCGUUAUCCGGAUUUACUGGGUGUAAAGGGAGCGCAGGCGGAAGGCUAAGUCUGAUGUGAAAGCCCGGGGCUCAACCCCGGUACUGCAUUGGAAACUGGUCAUCUAGAGUGUCGGAGGGGUAAGUGGAAUUCCUAGUGUAGCGGUGAAAUGCGUAGAUAUUAGGAGGAACACCAGUGGCGAAGGCGGCUUACUGGACGAUAACUGACGCUGAGGCUCGAAAGCGUGGGGAGCAAACAGGAUUAGAUACCCUGGUAGUCCACGCCGU
rnacentral:rRNA from 1 species